rnacentral:rRNA from 1 species
AUUGAACGCUGGCGGCAGGCCUAACACAUGCAAGUCGAACGAGUGGUGGACGGGUGAGUAAUGUCUGGGAAACUGCCUGAUGGCGGGGGUUAACUACUGGAAACGGUAGCUAAUACCGCUUACCGUCGGAUUUGCCCCGAUGGCAUUAGCUAGUAGGUGGGGUAAAGGCUCCCCUAGGCGACGAUCCCUAGCCGGUCUGCGAGGAUGACCAGCAACACGGGAACUGGGGCACGGUCCAGACUCCUGCGGGAGGCAGAAGUGGGGAAUAUGGCACAAUGGGCGCAAGCCUGAUAAAGCCAUGCCGCGUGUAUGAAGAAGGCCGUCGGGUUGUAAAGUACUUUCAGCGGGGAGGCGUUACCCGCAGAAGAAGCACCGGCUAACUCCGUGCCAGCAGCCGCGGUAAUAC